CAGUUACCAGAAAGUAUUCGCAUACAAAAUCCAAUUCCUUGGCAUCUAAGUUAAACAGUGCACACUCUUUCUCUAACUCCCCAAAUUUAGAAGCCCACCUCUCUAAUUUCCCUAAUUUCCGUUUUCCCACCCAAAAAUCCCUAAUUUUCCAUUCGGGAUCGGCCCCCAAUUUGCUUGUUCAUUGCAAUUCCGCUCCUUGGUUCGCCAAGGGUGUUUGUUGUGUGUGCGAAAUGAAGAUCGAGGAACUGGAGGCGGAGGGGGAUUGUGAUCGGAAUGACGGCCUUUCCGGGAGGCAGAUAGUUGGGGUUGACGACGCCAAGCGAGCACUCGUUGGAGCCGGGGCGCGGAUCCUCUUUUACCCGACCCUGUUGUAUAAUGUGCUGCGGAACAAGAUGGAAGCUGAGUUCAGAUGGUGGGAUGAAGUUGACCAGUUUGUUCUGCUCGGUGCGGUUCCAUUUCCCAAAGACGUUCCCCAGUUGAAGCGGCUAGGUGUUGGUGGUGUUAUCACUCUCAAUGAACCUUACGAAACUUUGGUUCCGACAUCCUUGUAUCGUGCCCAUGGAAUUGACCAUCUUGUAAUUCCCACGCGAGAUUAUCUAUUUGCUCCUUCCUUUGUUGAUAUCGACAGAGCUGUAGAAUUCAUUCACGAGAAUGCAUCGUGUGGUGAAGUUACUUAUGUGCACUGUAAAGCUGGUCGGGGAAGGAGCACAACUAUCGUGCUUUGCUAUUUGGUGAAAUACAAGAAUAUGACACCAUCUGCAGCCCUAGACUAUGUCCGGUCUAGAAGACCACGUGUACUGCUAGCCCCCUCACAAUGGAAGGCUGUUCUAGAAUACAGCAGAUGUGGAUCAACUACCGCAGCAUGUUCUCCCUCAGGAGAUGCAGUUUUAAUUACCAAAGAUGAUCUUGAAGGGUACCAUGGAACUUACGACGACACUGCUCGUAAGCAGUUGGCAAUUGUUCCCAAAAUGGUGAAAGCCAGCCCCAUGAUAGCUAGGUUAUCAUGCCUUUUCGCAUCCUUGAAAGUCUCAGGAAAUUGUGGACCAGUCGCGAGGCGGUUGUCUGUGCCGGAGCCACGUGCUUGCUGAGCUCUCACACAUAUCACGCAAGUGUCGAUAGUUGUUUGCUUGUACAGGAGCACAAGCACGAUGGGAAUGGAAGUUUUAUGACGCGCCAAUGUUUCUGGUCGCUUCAUGUUUACGAGAGAGAGAGAAGGUCUUUGGGAGGGCGAGGUGCCAUAAACUAUGGUACGGACAAUGGAGACAAACUGAUGCCUGACCUCUGUAUACAAAGCAUGAUACGCUAGAACGGAUUUACUGUCAUGUGGUGGUUCUUUUCCAAUAAACAAUGACAAGUGUAAGGCACGUGAGACCAAAUACAGGGGGUGUGUUAGUACGGCUGCAUGCACGUGGUAUGGAGGGGUGGAAGCUAGAAUUUUCCACGGACAAUGGGUUACAAAUGUUAUCUUAUGCUUAGUCGCGAGGUGUCGUACAGAUAACAUAGUCAUGCACCUUACCUAAGAUUUUCCUCUAUUUGAACAUAUGCAAUAGCCAACUAUUGUAGCUGUAGAGUUUGACCAUUUUGAUAUUUUUCACAUAAUGGGCGGGUCUUAUCUGUCGGGCUAUUUUACAUUGCUAGGUUGUUUGGAUUAUUUUGUGGUGAUGAGGAUCUUGUGAUUUACGGAUUCCGGCUCGAAUUGGCCCAUCUAUCAAUGCCCAUUCAAGUCCGGCCAAUUGACCAAA